UGUGUGUGUUUGUCUGUAAGAAAAAGAACAGAAAAAUAGGCAGCCAUAACCAGAAGGGCUGUGGUCGGCUUCGACCGAACAUUGACGCGAGCAAAAGUCAUUGCAACUGUUCGCUUCACUCCUUUCUUCUUUCUUUUCUUUUACAAUUACUUUGUAUAUUUUUGGAUCUGCUUUGUUUUUUCUUCUUUCCGAGCCUAAUUUCCAUUUCUUUCGAUCCUUCAGAUUGAACAGGGAGCAAGCACUCAAAGGGUUUCCAUUGAUUGAUUUCUUUCUGCUGAUCUCUUUUGUGGGGAGGGGGUGCUUUUAUGGCUUUUGCGGCCCCCGAUAUUCCAUCCGCCUAACAACAACCAGCUUGAGGCAUCAUGCAUCAGGGUCAGAACACCAA